rnacentral:snRNA from 1 species
GGGCUAGCUUCCACAAUACAUACACUAAAAUUUGAAUGAUACAGAGAACCGCAUGGCCUCUCUGCAAGGAUGACAAAUUCAUGAAGUGUUCCGUAUUUUU